CUGCAUGGCUGUCGUCAGCUCGUGUCGUGUAGAUGUGGGUUAAGUCCGUACGAGCGCAACCCUUGUCCUUAGUUACCAGCACGUUAUGGUGGGCGACUCUAAGGAGACUGCCGGUGACAAACCGGAGGAAGGUGGGGAUGACGUCAAGUCAUCAUGGCCCUUACGGCCUGGGCUACACACGUGCUACAAUGGUCGGUACAAAGGGUUGCCAAGCCGCGAGGUGGAGCUAAUCCCAUAAAACCGAUCGUAGUCCGGAUCGCAGUCUGCAACUCGACUGCGUGAAGUCGGAAUCGCUAGUAAUCGUGAAUCAGAAUGUCACGGUGAAUACGUUCCCGGGCCUU
rnacentral:rRNA from 1 species